rnacentral:rRNA from 1 species
CCACGGGUGGCUGCAGUGAGGAAUAUUGGUCAAUGGGCGGAAGCCUGAACCAGCCAAGUAGCGUGCAGGAUGACGGCCCUACGGGUUGUAAACUGCUUUUAUACGGGAAUAACGCGCCUUACGUGUAGGGCUUUGCAUGUACCGUAUGAAUAAGGACCGGCUAAUUCCGUGCCAGCAGCCGCGGUAAUACGGAAGGUCCGGGCGUUAUCCGGAUUUAUUGGGGUUAAAGGGAGCGUAGGCCGCAUGUCAAGCGUGCUGUGAAAUGUCCGGGCUCAACCCGGGCCUUGCAGCGCGAACUGGCGUGCUUGAGUCCGCGGAAGGCAGGCGGAAUUCGUCGUGUAGCGGUGAAAUGCUUAGAUAUGACGAAGAACCCCGAUUGCGAAGGCAGCUUGCUGCAGCGGAACUGACGCUGAUGCUCGAAAGCGCGGGUAUCGAACAGGAUUAGAUACCCCAGUAGUC